GACGAACGCUGGCGGCGCGCUUAACACAUGCAAGUCGAGCGAGAACCAGUCCUUCGGGACUGGGGAAAGCGGCGAACGGGUGAGUAACACGUGGGUAAUCUGCCCUCGGCACUGGGAUAGCCCGGGGAAACCCGGAUUAAUACCGGAUAGCCUUUCGAGCCUUCGGGCUCGUCAGAAAAGGUGGCUUCGGCUUCCGGCUGAGGAUGGGCCCGCGGCGGAUUAGCUUGUUGGUGGGGUAAUGGCCUACAAAGGCGACGAUCCGUAGCUGGUCUGAGAGGACGAUCAGCCACACGGGGACUAAGACGCGGCCCAGACUCCUACGGGAGGCAGCAGUGGGGAAUCUUGCGCAAUGGGCGAAAGCCUGACGCAGCGACGCCGCGUGCGGGAAGAAGGCCUUCGGGUUGUAAACCGCUUUCAGGAGGGACGAAGCCACUCGGGUUAAUAGCCCAGAGGGUGACGGUACCUCCAGAAGAAGCCCCGGCUAACUACGUGCCAGCAGCCGCCGUAA
rnacentral:rRNA from 1 species